CAGCUAUCAUUCUCAUGGGAUUAUUCUCACUGGGAAGUUCUGUCAGUGCAGGAUGUCGGGGAGGCCUGUUCAUGUGUGCAAUCAACAGCUUAACUUGCAGAAUAAAGGUACAACUGUUUGGGUCCCUUGUCAGGCAGGACAUUGGCUUCUUUGAGACCAUCAAGACAGGUGAUAUCACAUCUAGACUCUC